CGAACGGGUGAGUAACGCGUGGGGAAUCUGCCUUUGAGCGGGGGGCAACAUUUGGAAACGAAUGCUAAUACCGCAUAAAAACUUUAAACACAAGUUUUAAGUUUGAAAGAUGCAAUUGCAUCACUCAAAGAUGAUCCCGCGUUGUAUUAGCUAGUUGGUGAGGUAAAGGCUCACCAAGGCGAUGAUACAUAGCCGACCUGAGAGGGUGAUCGGCCACAUUGGGACUGAGACACGGCCCAAACUCCUACGGGAGGCAGCAG
rnacentral:rRNA from 1 species